ensembl:lncRNA
UCCUGAUAGACAUAUUUUAUUUUCUUAAAUAUAAGCAUGUAAACACUAUUGCUGGGCGAUGCUUUUUUAAAGCCUGGCAAUAUCAUAACCUAUUAGUUUGCUUUCUGUUCAUUGCUCAAAAUGUGUACAUAAAGUAUCUGUCCUGGGGCUGGGGCCCAUUGCUCACCAGCUGGGACAGUCAGAGGCUGUCUGCUCCCUCGUCCCAAGGCGAACAGAGGCUCCUUGUCUGAAAGGAGCCAGCCAGGAAGUGCCUGCUGCGCUCCUGUAAACGUGGACAUUCACUGAAGUCAGGCUGUCUCGAGGGUGGACGCUGCGCAGGCGGAUGGAGCAAGGAGGGCAGGGAGCUGCAGAGAUGACAGACAGGAAAUUGCUUAAAAGCAAUGGAGCUAACCAUGAACUGAAAACUCUGAAGCUAGAUAAACACAAAGUGUUUUGACCUCAAGAAAAGCUAUCAAGUGUUUCUCUUCAGUAGCCAUGAAGAGACUGCUCAGCCUGAGAAAAGACCGAGUUUAACGUAUCCUUAACAUCACAUGGGCCUUCUCCCACCCAGACCCUGGAGGAAACCUUGCCAACUAAACCUGUUCUUUACCUAAGGCUCUUGGUGGUUUAACAAGGAAUAAAAUAGCAGAUCUGUCAAAGAGGCAGAAUGUUCGUGAGGAUCCCAGUUUUCCAGGGCACUGGAGUCCCGCCCCAGCCAGGUCUCCUUGCCAGGGAAGUGUUUUGGUGUGCAUGUAGGACACGCAGACAAGUCCAGUGCCUGAUCUCUGACCAGAGCUCAUCUGUAGAGAUUCUCUACAGAUCCCUUAAAGGGUCUCCCGGUUCUAAAGCUAAUGACCCACCCACAGCAAGGGAAUUAUGCUCAUCUCUUUUGUGUUCAAGUCCUUUUAAGCCAUGCCUUUGUGCAGGGGACCUUGUUCUACCUAACAAAAAAGUUUAUAGACGUG